rnacentral:rRNA from 1 species
UACGAAGGGGGCGAGCGUUGUUCGGAAUUACUGGGCGUAAAGGGCGCGCAGGCGGCUCUGAAAGUCAGAUGUGAAAGCCCCGGGCUUAACCUGGGAAUUGCAUUUGAUACUCUGGAGCUUGAGUACGGGAGAGGAGAGUGGAAUUCCCAGUGUAGAGGUGAAAUUCGUAGAUAUUGGGAAGAACACCAGUGGCGAAGGCGGCUCACUGGACCGGUAUUGACGCUGAGGUGCGAAAGCGUGGGGAGCAAACAGG